rnacentral:rRNA from 1 species
UGAGGAAUAUUGGUCAAUGGACGCGAGUCUGAACCAGCCAAGUAGCGUGAAGGAUGACUGCCCUAUGGGUUGUAAACUUCUUUUAUACGGGAAUAAAGUGGAGUAUGCAUACUCCUUUGUAUGUACCGUAUGAAUAAGGAUCGGCUAACUCCGUGCCAGCAGCCGCGGUAAUACGGAGGAUCCGAGCGUUAUCCGGAUUUAUUGGGUUUAAAGGGAGCGUAGGUGGACAGUUAAGUCAGUUGUGAAAGUUUGCGGCUCAACCGUAAAAUUGCAGUUGAUACUGGCUGUCUUGAGUACAGUAGAGGUGGGCGGAAUUCGUGGUGUAGCGGUGAAAUGCUUAGAUAUCACGAAGAACUCCGAUUGCGAAGGCAGCUCACUGGACUGCAACUGACACUGAUGCUCGAAAGUGUGGGUAUCAAACAGGAUUAGAUACCCUGGUAGUCCACACGGUAAACGAUGAAUACUCGCUGUUUGCGAUAUACUGCAAGCGGCCAAGCGAAAGCGUUAAGUAUUCCACCUGGGGAGUACGCCGGCAACGGUGAAACUCAAAGGAAUUGACGGGGGCCCGCACAAGCGGAGGAACAUGUGGUUUAAUUCGAUGAUACGCGAGGAACCUUACCCGGGCUUAAAUUGCAGAUGAAUUACGGUGAAAGCCGUAAGCCGCAAGGCAUCUGUGAAGGUGCUGCAUGGUUGUCGUCAGCUCGUGCCGUGAGGUGUCGGCUUAAGUGCCAUAACGAGCGCAACCCUUGUUGUCAGUUACUAACAGGUUCCGCUGAGGACUCUGACAAGACUGCCAUCGUAAGAUGUGAGGAAGGUGGGGAUGACGUCAAAUCAGCACGGCCCUUACGUCCGGGGCUACACACGUGUUACAAUGGGGGGUACAGAAGGCAGCUACCUGGCGACAGGAUGCUAAUCCCCAAAACCUCUCUCAGUUCGGAUUGGAGUCUGCAACCCGACUCCAUGAAGCUGGAUUCGCUAGUAAUCGCGCAUCAGCCACGGCGCGGUGAAUACGUUCCC